ACUGCUCAGUAACACGUGGAUAACCUACCCAAGAGUCCGGGAUAACCCCGGGAAACUGGGGAUAAUACCGGAUAGAUCAAACUUGCUGGAAGGCUGUUUGGUUGAAACUUCCGGGGCUUUUGGAUGGGUCUGCGGCUGAUUAGGUUGUUGCCGGUGUAAUGUACCGUCAAGCCUGUAAUCAGUACGGGUUGUGGGAGCAAGAGCCCGGAGAUGGAUUCUGAGACACGAAUCCAGGCCCUACGGGGCGCAGCAGGCGCGAAAACUCUACAAUGCAGGCAACUGCGAUAGGGGAACAUCGAGUGAUCCUCAUAUUGGGGGUCUGUCCACCCGCCUAAAAAGCGGGUGUUAGCAAGGGCCGGGCAAGACCGGUGCCAGCCGCCGCGGUAAUACCGGCGGCUCGAGUGGUGGCCGAUAUUAUUGAGUCUAAAGGGUCCGUAGCCGGCUUUGCAAGUCUCUCGGGAAAUCCAGCGGCUUAACCGUUGGGCUGUCGGGGGGUACUACAUUGCUUGGGACUGGGAGAGGUAGGAGGUACUCAGGGGGUAGGAGUGAAAUCCUGUAAUCCUUUGGGGACCACCGGUGGCGAAGGCGUCCUACCAGAACAGGUCCGACGGUGAGGGACGAAAGCUAGGGGCACGAACCGGAUUAGAUACCCGGGUAGUCCUAGCCGUAAACGAUGCUCGCUAGGUGUCACAACAGUCGUGAACUGUUGUGGUGCCGUAGGCAAGCCGUGAAGCGAGCCACUUGGGAAGUACGAACGCAG
rnacentral:rRNA from 1 species